UGGUGACUAUAGCAAGGAGGUCACACCUGUUCCCAUGUCGAACACAGAAGUUAAGCUCCUUAGCGUCGAUGGUAGUCGAACUUACGUUCCGCUAGAGUAGAACGUUGCCAGGC
rnacentral:rRNA from 1 species